rnacentral:rRNA from 1 species
UACGGAGGGUGCGAGCGUUGUCCGGAAUCAUUGGGCGUAAAGGGCGCGUAGGUGGCGGGACAAGCGUGCGGUGAAAGCCUGGGGCUCAACCCCGGGUCGGCCGUGCGAACUGUUUUGCUUGAGCACUGUAGAGGCAGGCGGAAUUCCGGGUGUAGCGGUGGAAUGCGUAGAGAUCCGGAAGAACACCGGUGGCGAAGGCGGCCUGCUGGGCAGUAGCUGACACUGAGGCGCGACAGCAUGGGGAGCAAACAGG